rnacentral:rRNA from 1 species
UAACACGUGGGCAACCUGCCCUGAAGCGGGGGAUAACAUCUGGAAACAGGUGCUAAUACCGCAUAACAACGAAAGCCACAUGGUUUUCGUUUCAAAGAUGGUUUCGGCUAUCACUUCAGGAUGGGCCCGCGGUGCAUUAGCUAGUUGGUAAGGUAACGGCUUACCAAGGCAAUGAUGCAUAGCCGAGUUGAGAGACUGAUCGGCCACAAUGGAACUGAGACACGGUCCAUACUCCUACGGGAGGCAGCAGUC